rnacentral:rRNA from 1 species
UUCGCAAUGCCCGAAAGGGUGACGAAGCGACGCCGCGUGCGGGAAGAAGGCCUUCGGGUUGUAAACCGCUGUCGGGAGUUAAGAAAUGUAAGGAUGUUAAUAGCAUCUUUGCUUGACUAAGGCUCCGGAGGAAGCCACGGCUAACUCUGUGCCAGCAGCCGCGGUAAUACAGAGGCGGCAAGCGUUGUUCGGAAUUAUUGGGCGUAAAGAGCACGUAGGCGGUUCUGCAAGUCGGCUGUGAAAGCCUUCCGCUCAACGGAAGAACAGCAGUUGAUACUACAGGACUCGAGUGCGGGAGGGGAGAGUGGAACUUCUGGUGGAGCGGUGAAAUGCGUAGAUAUCAGAAGGAACGCCGGCGGCGAAAGCGACUCCCUGGCCCGUAACUGACGCUGAGUGUGCGAAAGCUAGGGGAGCAAACGGGAUUAGAUACCCCGGUAGUCCUAGCCGUAAACGAUGGGCACUAAGUAGAGGGGUUUU